AAGGUAGCAUAAUAAUUUGUGUUUUAAAUGGGCACUGGCAUAAACGGUCACACAUUGUUAAUUUUUCUUACCUUUAAAAAUUAAAUUUAGAGUAAAAGUAAAAAUACUUUUUUAAACUAAAUAGACGAUAAGACCCUAAAAGCUUUAUUUAAAAUUUAUUUAUUUUCAUAUAACAAAAUUAUUAAGUUUUAACUGGGGUAGUUGUUGUUUUUUGAUUUAAUAAAAUACUAAAAGGCUAAAUGACCCUUUUAUAAAGGUAGUUGUUUAAGUUACUUUAGGGAUAACAGCGUUAUAAAAUUAAAGAGACCUUAUCUCCAAUUUUGAUUGCGACCUCGAUGUUGAAUUAACAAAUCCAAACGGGGCAGCUCUCGUGCAGGAAGGUUUGUUCAACCUUUAAUUUGUUACAUGAUCUGAGUUCAAACCGG
rnacentral:rRNA from 1 species